rnacentral:lncRNA from 1 species
GUCGUGUCAAGGCAUGCCUCCUGCUAAUACCCAGAUAGAUGUGUUUGAUUUUUUUGAGCAAGCAAGUUUCAUAAAACUGUGCUGGAUGUAUUAAGGGCAUUUUCAUUGAAUGGCUCUCCUGAGACAGCUUCUCCAGUCUUACAAGAUUUCUAAACUAUUGUUUCAAUUGGACAAAGAUGUUACCUAUCCUUAGAAUUCACAUAAAUUCUUACAUCUAAGGAAUUUAACUUCAGCAGAGGUAUUGCCUCAGAUUGGGACUGCAAAGUGCAAGGAAAAAAUAUCUUGCUCACUGCUAAUUUUAUUAGCUCAGAACAUUUAUGAUACAAGUUAAA